GGAGAGAUGGUCGAGUUGGUUUAAGGCACCGGUCUUGAAAACCGGCGAAGGUUUAUAGCCUUCCGUGGGUUCGAAUCCCACUCUCUCCGCCA
rnacentral:tRNA from 1 species